UACAUGGGGUGCAAACGUUGCUCGGAAUUAUUGGGCGUAAAGCGCACGUAGGUGGUCUGUUAUGUCAGAUGUGAAAGCCCUCGGCUUAACUGAGGAAGUGCACCUGAAACUGGCAGGCUUGAGUACGAAAGAGGGUCGCGGAAUUCCCGGUGUAGUGGUGGAAUGCGUAGAUAUCGGGAGGAACACCAGUGGCGAAGGCGGUUGCCUGGAGCUUUGCUGACGCUGAGGCGCGAAAGCGUGGGGAGCGAUCCGG
rnacentral:rRNA from 1 species